UGUGUGUGUGUGUGAGCCUUUGGCUACGUUCAGACAGCAGGCCUUGAUGCUCAAUUUGGAUUUUUUUGUGAAAUCUGAAUUUUUUUGUGUGUGUGUGUGAGGUCAUUCACAUUUCAAUUAAAUGCGACCUGUAUGUGGCCUGCUGUGUGAACGGCUUAACGCCCCAUACUAUCCUGCAUGCACAGAAGAGGGUACGACGACGUCACAUGCAGCGAGCGUGCUCAGUGGAAGAAGAGAAGAAGAAGUGUGCUCAGUGUUUGCGGAAGUAAACAUGGAUGGUAACAGUAGCGGUGGAGUGUAUCUAGCGAUUUAAUCUUGUUGUCCAGCCGGAGUCAGCACAUUUAUAAUGUUAUCCUUUUAAAGAGAAGAUUGAAAAGGAAAAGAGCCAGGUUUUUGGCCCUGGCAUUUUGUGGGGCAGUGGC